ACUGAUGAUAUCCUGGCUCAGAUUGAACGCUGCCGUAGCAGGCAGGCCUAACACAUGCAAGUCGAGCGGCAGCGGGACCUUCGGGUUGCCUUAGUGAACGUGAUGGCGAGCGGCCGUGAUGUAGAAAUGCCUAGGAAUCUGGAUAACGCGGGGAAACUCGCGCUAAUACCGCAUACGUCCUACGGGAGAAAGCGGGGGCUCUUCGGACCUCGCGCUAACAGAUGAGCCUAGGUCGGAUUAGCUAGUUGGUGGGGUAAGGGCCCACCAAGGCGACGAUCCGUAACUGGUCUGCCAAGAGGAUGAUCAGUCCCAGUGAUGAUACACGGUCCAGACUCCUACGGGAGGCAGCAGUGGGGAAUCCAUGGUAAAUUGGACAAUGGGCGAAAGCCUGCCAUUUAUGUGUGAAGAAGGUCUUCGGAUUGUAAAGCACCUGAUGAUGGAGGAAGGGCCGCGGGCUAAUAUCCUGGGGUUUUGACGUUACCGACAAGAAUAAGCACCGGCUAACACUGUAUUCGUGCCAGCAGCCGCGGUAAUACGAAAGGGUCCAUGUAGUAGUCGGAGGGCGUAAAGCGCGCGUCCAGUAGGUGGUUGGGUAAGUUGGAUGUGAAAGCCCCCCAGUGAUACCUGGGAUCCAAAACUGCCUGGCUAGAGUACGGUAGAGGGUGGUGGAAUUUCCUGUGUAGCGGUGAAAUGCGUAGAUAUAGGAAGGAACACCAGUGGCGAAGGCGACCACCUGGACCGAUACUGACACUGAGGUGCGAAAGCGUGGGGAGCAAACAGGAUUAGAUACCCUGGUAGUCCACGCCGUAAACGAUGUCGACUAGCCGUUGGGCUCCUUGAGAGCUUAGUGGCCAGUGAUGUAGUAGGUAACGCAUUAAGUCGCCAGUCGGCCGCAAGGUUAAAACUCAAAUGAAUUGACGGGGGCCCGCGCAAGCGGUGGAGCAUGUGGUAUAAUUCGAAGCAACGCGAAGAACCUUACCUGGCCUUGACAUCAUGCGAACCUUUCAGGGAUGAGAGGGUCCCUUCGGGAGCGCAGAGACAGGUGCUGCAUGGCUGUCGUCAGCUUAUGUCGUGAGAUGUUGGGUUAAGUCCCGUAACGCGCGCAACCCUUGUCCAAUGUUACCAGCGAUUCGGUCGGGCACUCUAAGGAGACUGCCGGUGACAAACCAGUAGUAGGAAGGUGGGGAUGAAAGUCAUCAUGGCCCCAGUGACCAGGGCUACACACGUGCUUGUGUAGUCGGUACAGAGGGUUGCCAAGCCGCGAGGCGGAGCUAAUCCCAGAACAGUGAUCGUAGUCCGGAUCGCAGUCUGCACGUGAUGUACGUGAAGUCGGAAUCGCUAGUAAUCGCGAAUCAGACAGUAGUUGUGAAUACGUUCCCGGGCCUUGUACACACCGCCCGUCACACCAUGGGAGUGGGUUGCUCCAGAAGUAGCUAGUCUAACCCUCCGUGAUAACGUUACCACGGAGUGAUUCA
rnacentral:rRNA from 1 species